AUUGAACGCUGGCGGCAUGCCUUACACAUGCAAGUCGAACGGUAACAGGUCUUCGGAUGCUGACGAGUGGCGAACGGGUGAGUAAUACAUCGGAACGUGCCUAGUAGUGGGGGAUAACUACUCGAAAGAGUGGCUAAUACCGCAUGAGAUCCACGGAUGAAAGCAGGGGAUCGCAAGACCUUGUGCUACUAGAGCGGCCGAUGGCAGAUUAGGUAGUUGGUGGGAUAAAAGCUUACCAAGCCGACGAUCUGUAGCUGGUCUGAGAGGACGAUCAGCCAAACUGGGACUGAGAAGCGGCCCAGACUCCUACGGGAGGCAGCAGUGGGGAAUUUUGGACAAUGGGCGCAAGCCUGAUCCAGCAAUGCCGCGUGCAGGAUGAAGGCCUUCGGGUUGUAAACUGCUUUUGUACGGAACGAAAAGCCCCGGGUUAAUACCCUGGGGUCAUGACGGUACCGUAAGAAUAAGCACCGGCUAACUACGUGCCAGCCGCCGCAGUAA
rnacentral:rRNA from 1 species